rnacentral:misc_RNA from 1 species
AACUACAAUUUUUAAAAAAUUUUUAAAGCUAUUUCAUAAUUAAUUUUAAUAAGUUAUAUAUACAAUUGAAACAUAACAAUACAUUAGAAGUUCAGCUUAACUAAUCUUCCAGAUAAUAUUAUGGAUUCAAUGUUUUUAUUUGAUUUAUUUAUGUUAAUUAGUUAUAGGCAUUUCAAUGAGUCUAAUGCAUUUUAGAAAAGACAUUUGAAGAGCAGAGGGCCACAAAACCUUGUUUCCAUCACACAACUGCAACUUAAAUCUGUGCACAUAGUGGACUAUGAACCCAAGAAGAAAAUGAAAGAUGAGAAAGAAUGGAAACUAGUUUGGUUUCCUAUCUAGUUUUGACACACAAAACACCCUUUGCAAGCCAAGUCAUUGGACAAAAAGAAAAAAGAAGAGCCACAAAUGUUAUGUAUUGCCAUAAGUUCGAAAUGCAUCUGUUCUUCCAACAACUUCAAUAAUGAAAAAUAAAAUGUUAUGUUUCAUACUACUAUGAGAAAAACUGAUAAUAUCAAACCAGCGACGCAAU